AUUGAACGCUGGCGGCAUGCCUUACACAUGCAAGUCGAACGGCAGCACGGGAGCAAUCCUGGUGGCGAGUGGCGAACGGGUGAGUAAUAUAUCGGAACGUGCCCAGUCGUGGGGGAUAACGUAGCGAAAGCUACGCUAAUACCGCAUACGAUCUAUGGAUGAAAGCGGGGGAUCGCAAGACCUCGCGCGAUUGGAGCGGCCGAUAUCAGAUUAGGUAGUUGGUGGGGUUAAAAAGGCCUACCAAAGCCUUCGAUCUGUAGCUGGUCUUGAGAGGACGACCAGCCACACUGGAACUGAGACACGGUCCAGACUCCUACGGAGGCAGCAGUGGGGAAUUUUGGACAAUGGGCG
rnacentral:rRNA from 1 species